rnacentral:rRNA from 1 species
GGAGGGAUCAAGAGGGUGCUAGACUCGGCCUGAAGUAUUUAUUGAAUGUUGUCACACUGCCCAUAGAGGGUGUAAGGCCCGUAAGGCCGGCGUCUAGAUUACCUCGCUGGUUCCUCUCGAGAGUCGGGUUGCUUGAAAGUGCAGCCCUAAGUAGGUGGUAAACUCCAUCUAAGGCUAAAUAUUCCCACGAGACCGAUAGCGAACAAGUACCGCGAGGGAAAGUUGAAAAGAACUUUGAAAAGAGAGUUCAAUAGAGCGUGAAACUACCACGAGGCUAAAGCGAGUGAGCGUACGUAUCCGAACGGUUUGAUUCAGUCCGCCCGAGCACUGAUGAGCAGUGGGGGGUCGUAAUACGUCAUUAACGGAUCUCCCGAAAGGAUCCGAGCUAUACGCUCGGCCUCUAGGGUGACCGGCGUAUCUUCCGCUUUGCUCUGUAGGGGGACGCAUUUCCGGCCGAAGUAGGGCGUCGCGGCCGUUUCGGAGGUGUCUAAGACACGGGGGUCUUGGAAUCCGCAUCUUCUCGUCCCGGCGCGCUCUACCGCUCCUUCACGGAGGGGCGGCAUCACGCCGGGGUCGCGGGUCGAGCGGGGCCGCCUCGUUGAUCUGACGGCCUC